UCAGACGAUGCGUCAUGCAUAUCAAUAAGCGGAGGAAAAGAAACUAACAAGGAUUCCCUCAGUAACGGCGAGUGAAGCGGGAAGAGCUCAAAUUUGAAAUCUUGAAGGGUCACCUUUCACGAAUUGUAGUUUAAAGAAGUGUUUUCUGUUACGAUCGUAAUAUAAGUUCUUUGGAAUAGGACAUCACAGAGGGUGAGAAUCCUGUAUUUGACCAUUAUUUUCAGCUUUGUGAUACACUUUCAAAGAGUCGGAUUGUUUGGGAAUGCAGUCCAAAAUGGGUAGGUAAAUUUCAUCUAAAGCUAAAUAUUGGCGAGAGACCGAUAGCGAACAAGUACCGUGAGGGAAAGAUGAAAAGAACUUUGAAAAGAGAGUUAAACAGUACGUGAAAUUGUCAAAAGGGAAGCGUUUGACACCAGUGUUGUUUUCUCGAAAAUCAAUUAAAAAUGGCUCGAUUUUGUAUUGCUUGAGACCUUAAAAGCUCACUGUACAUUUUUCGUGUCUUUUUUAAUGCACUUAUCGUUUAACAAGUCAACAUCAGUUUCUUUUGUUGUAAAAGGGUCAUUGGAAGGUGGCUCUCUUUUCGGAGAAAGUGUUUAUAGCCUUUGGCCUCUGCAAUCGGAGAGACUGAGGUCUGCAGCGUAGACUCUUCGGGGUUAGAUACAUUUGUGCUAAGUUAUAGCUUUUUAUAGACAACUUGUUGACUAUAAUUAGUCUUGUAGCUUACUCGCUUAUGCUAUUUUACCUACGCUUAGGAUGUUGACUGAUAUGUAGUCGUA
rnacentral:rRNA from 1 species